UAGUGAGUUUGAUCCUGGCUCAGAACGAACGCUGGCGGCAUGCGUUAACGACAUGCAAGUCGAACGGGCUCUUCGGAACUAGUGGCGGACGGGUGAGUAACGCGUGAGAAUCUGCCCUCAGGUCGGGGAUAACAGUUCGAAAGAGCUGCUAAUACCGGAUGUGCCGCAAGGUAAAAGAUUUAUUGCCUGGGGGAUGAGCUCGCGUCCGAUUAGCUAGUUGGUGGGGUAAUGGCUCACCAAGGCGACGAUCGGUAGCUGGUCUGAGAGGAUGAUCAGCCACACUGGAACUGAGACACGGUCCAGACU
rnacentral:rRNA from 1 species